rnacentral:lncRNA from 1 species
AGAUUUUGUACUUCUCUCUACUUCACAAAAAAUAUCAAAUGAAAAUAUAUACCAAAAUGCCAAUAAAAUUUCAGUUGCCUUUUCAGAACUCGCAAAGAGUGUCAUGAGCCUAGGGUUUUAGCACUCUUCAACGCAGGAGUAACACGAUUGAAAAACCCUAACAGUGGGAGCACACGCAUAAAACCUUUUUUGCCAAAUUAGCAUUUUCACGGUCAUCAACAUGUCCGUCGCCGCCGCUAGAUCCGUCUUCCGAUCAGCCUCAGUCCGUAAUGGUGCGGCAAGAUUAGCUUCUGGAGUGAAAGCCGCUCGAUCUCCCUUUCGUAUGUCCACCAGAAGACCACUUUCACAUCGCAUCUUCAGGUAACUAAAUAAACAUUAACACAUAUACAUACACACAAGCCCAAUUAUACAUGUAAACUGACAUUUAUCUUCAUUUUCUUUUGAAGUUGUCCUGCUGAAAUGAGUUCGAUGCAACCCUUCCAUACUGCGACUGCUUCGGCAUUGAUGACUUCGAUGCUCUCUCUCUCUCGCCGUGGUUACGGUUGGCUUCCUGAAGGUAGUAAACUUUCUAAAUUUUGGCUUAAUUUCGAUUUUUAAGUCCUUGAAAUUUUUGAUGAUUUUUCUAUGGUUCAAUUGAUGUUAUUUGGGAUUGCGAAUCUAUUUGUGUUCCUAAGCUGAAAUUUUUUAGCACUUAGUUUUGUGCUUGAAUGCUGGUAUUCUAUAAGAGUAGAAAUUUUUUAAUGUACAAGUGAUUGAUAAUGUGGGGAGGACAUGGUCAACUUUCAAUCCAAUUUUGAGUUCUUUUAGUUAUUAGCUUCUUGUUUUCUAGUACUCUGAAGUGGUUAGUAUAAAUAAUUCUCCUGAACUAUUAAAAUUGGUGAAGAGACUGUGUUCAUCCAUCUAGCAUAAUUAAAACUCACUCUUACAGGAAAUCUAAAUAAUGUUUUGAAUUCUUCUUUAUUAUGUUGUUUUUUCAAGUUAUGUUUUUAGUCAAAAUACUUCUUCCUAGUCUUUGUUUCAAGUUAUUUUCAUUUCAUGGCAGCCUGAGUCCAAUAAUCAGUACCUGACUGGGAAGAAUUGUGCCUGUUCAAGAAUAUUUUAUAGAUGUAUCAAUAAAAUUGACCAUAUAAAGAGUUUUCAAAGUUACAUUAAGAAAAAUUUGGUACCCAUGAAUGUUACAUCUAAUCUUGCUAUAUAGAAAGUUUUUCAGGUUACCCCAAGAAAUCUGGUAUUAGGAUUAGUACAUCUUGUUUUGGGUAAUCACAACCAGGAGUUACUGGGUUUUUUUUUUUAAUCGCCUUCAUACUAAACUCCCAUCCUGACAACUGUUACUGUUUAUUCUUGCAAAGUUAAUAUAUACUACUAGCUGGAAGGGGCCGUACUAGAUAGUUUUCACGUCAGAGAGUACUUUAAUCAUUUCAUCUCAUGAAAUUCUUAUUCCGAUGAAUUACAGAGGAAUUAGGGAUUUCCUUUUAUGUCCUGUUUACUUCAACACUUUCCUGUACUUCAAAGUUGUAGUUUUUGCUGAAUAGGUCGCCUAACCAUUGGGUUUUGUCUUGAUUUAGGUAUCUAGCAAAAUUUUGUAGACCUUCCUUGAUGUCCUGUUUCUCCUUUCAAGUAUUUGGUAAGUUAAAAUUGCUGGAUAUUAUCUAAAACACCCUUAGAUAUUUAAGGAAUUUAAAACCUCCCCUUCAGUAACUUUUUAAUUUCUGAAACAGAGAUAUCAGGCUCAACGAAAUAACACUAUUGUAUUAUUUAUAUGUUAAUUCCUAUUCCCCCUCCCCUUUAUCCUGGAUGGACACUUUCUGUCCCUAAACCUGGUUGAGUGUCAUAUGAUGAUACCCUAUUGUUUGCUUUUGUUCUUCUGUUUCCAGCUGAAGAGUCAGUUUCCAUCCCCAUUUCCUAUUUUUCUUGUUUUAAUAAAAUAGCACAUGCUUCAUUGUUUCCUGUUGUAGGCGUUGACAAGACUAGAUGAAGAUGGAGAUUCAACUAUGGAAUGAUUUGGAUUUGUUAUGUCUUGAAGCUUUUAAAUUCUUAGGUCGCUUCUUCAAUAGUAUAGGCUCGCUGGCUAUAUUUAAAGAUUAAUAAUGAAACAUGAAUUAAUGAUGUGUAGAUUGAAAGCUUUAAUAUACAAUUGCUCUUUCGUAGAUCUUGUUAAAGGAUACAUUGGUUUAUAUGAUUCUGUUUUCACCUUUGUUUGAAUUUGUUUUGUGUCCUUUGUAUAAUUUGAUUGAUUUUUCCUAUUUUCUUCGUAUUCUGGAAUCAUCUUUGGUAGCUUUUGUAAUUGAUGGACAGACUGGCACCAUGUGCUCUGUUUUCUUUGUGUGCUUUUUCUGG